rnacentral:rRNA from 1 species
UACGAAGGGGGCUAGCGUUGUUCGGAAUCACUGGGCGUAAAGCGCACGUAGGCGGCUUUCUAAGUCAGGGGUGAAAUCCUGGAGCUCAACUCCAGAACUGCCUUUGAUACUGGAGAGCUUGAGUCCGGGAGAGGUGAGUGGAACUCCGAGUGUAGAGGUGAAAUUCGUAGAUAUUAGGAAGAACACCAGUGGCGAAGGCGGCUCACUGGCCCGGUACUGACACUGAGGAGCGAAAGCGUGGGUAGCAAACAGG